rnacentral:misc_RNA from 1 species
AUUCUCUUCCACCAUCCUGCCCAACUCCUCUUCUGUCAACUUGCCCAAAGUCCCUCAUCUCCCCUGAUGGAGAGUCUCUACCUCCUGGUGGACCAUAAACCCUUCCACCUUGUCCCUGUGAAGGACCAUUGUUCUGCCGUGGUGGACCAUAAUUCUGCUGUGAGGGGCCAUAGUUCUGAUGAGGUGGAACAUAGCUCUGCUGUGGCGGACCAUAGUUUUGCUGUG